UACGUAGGUCCCGAGCGUUGUCCGGAUUUAUUGGGCGUAAAGCGAGCGCAGGUGGUUUAUUAAGUCUGGUGUAAAAGGCAGUGGCUCAACCAUUGUGUGCAUUGGAAACUGUUAGACUUGAGUGCAGUAGAGGAGAGUGGAAUUCCAGGUGUAGCGGUGAAAUGCGUAGAUAUAUGGAGGAACACCGGUGGCGAAAGCGGCUCUCUGGACUGUAACUGACACUGAGGCUCGAAAGCGUGGGUAGCAAACAGG
rnacentral:rRNA from 1 species